rnacentral:tRNA from 1 species
GGUGGGUUGGCUCAGUGGUUAGAACUUGGGGCUCGUAACCGAAAGGUCGCGGGAUCGAAUCCCGCUAGAGGCUG